rnacentral:rRNA from 1 species
UGGGGAAUAUUGCACAAUGGAGGGAACUCUGAUGCAGCGACGCCGCGUGAGUGAUGAAGGAAUUCGUUUCGUAAAACUCUGUUCUAUGGGAAGAAAAGGACUGUACCAUAGGAGAAAGCUCCGGCUAAAUACGUGCCAGCAGCCGCGGUAAUACGUAUGGAGCGAGCGUUGUCCGGAAUUAUUGGGCGUAAAGGGUGCGCAGGCGGCUUUACAAGUUGGAUGUGAAAUAUUGUGGCUCAACCACAAACGUGCAUCCAAAACUGCAAAGCUUGAGUGAAGGAGAGGUAAGUGGAAUUCCUGGUGUAGCGGUGGAAUGCGUAGAUAUCAGGAGGAAUACCGGUGGCGAAGGCGACUUACGGGACUUAAACUGACGCUCAGGCACGAAAGCGUGGGGAGCAAACAGG